UAUGCAACCUACCCUUUACAGGGGGAUAACACUGAGAAAUCGGUACUAAUACCCCAUAAUAUUCUGGGAGGCAUCUUUCGGAGUUGAAAGCUUUGGUGGUAAAGGAUGGGCAUGCGUUGUAUUAGCUAGUUGGUAAGGUAACGGCUUACCAAGGCGACGAUACAUAGGGGGACUGAGAGGUUAACCCCCCACAUUGGUACUGAGACACGGACCAAACUCCUACGGGAGGCAGCAGUGAGGAAUAUUGGUCAAUGGACGGAAGUCUGAACCAGCCAUGCCGCGUGCAGGAAGACGGCUCUAUGAGUUGUAAACUGCUUUUGUACGAGGGUAAACGCAGAUACGUGUAUCUGCCUGAAAGUAUCGUACGAAUAAGGAUCGGCUAACUCCGUGCCAGCAGCCGCGGUAAUACGGAGGAUCCAAGCGUUAUCCGGAUUUAUUGGGUUUAAAGGGUGCGUAGGCGGUUUAGUAAGUCAGCGGUGAAAUUUUGGUGCUUAACACCAAACGUGCCGUUGAUACUGCUGGGCUAGAGAGUAGUUGCGGUAGGCGGAAUGUAUGGUGUAGCGGUGAAAUGCUUAGAGAUCAUACAGAACACCGGUUGCGAAGGCAGCUUACCAAACUAUAUCUGACGUUGAGGCACGAAAGCGUGGGGAGCAAACAGGAUUAGAUACCCUGGUAGUCCACGCAGUAAACGAUGAUAGCUCGUUGUCGGCGAUACACAGUCGGUGACUAAGAGAAAUCGAUAAGCUAUCCACCUGGGGAGU
rnacentral:rRNA from 1 species